rnacentral:tRNA from 1 species
CCUUUGAUAGCUCAGCUGGUAGAGCAGAGGACUGUAGAUCCUUAGGUCGGUGGUUCGAUUCCGCCUCGAAGAA